rfam:Methanoregula formicica SMSP chromosome, complete genome.
GCCAGUGUGGCAGAGUGGUUACGCGGCUGAUUGCAGAUCAGCUACAUCCCGGUUCAAUUCCGGGCGCUGGCU